rnacentral:rRNA from 1 species
CCUACGGGUAGCAGCAGUGGGGGAUAUUGCACAAUGGGGGAAACCCUGAUGCAGCGACGCCGCGUGUGGGAAGACGGUCCUCUGGAUUGUAAACCACUGUCCCCAGGGACGAAGAUGACGGUACCUGGGGCGGAAGAUCCGGCAAACUACGUGCCAGCAGCCGCGGUAAUACGUAGGGAGCGAGGGUUGUCCGGAAGUACUGGGUGGAAAGGGAGCGUAGGCGGGGAUGAAAGUUGGGUGUCAAAACUACCGGCUCAACUGGUAGUUGCACUCAAAACUGCAGCUCUUGAGUGAAGUAGAGGCAGGCGGAAUUCCUAGUGUAGCGGUGAAAUGCGUAGAUAUUAGGAGGAACACCAGUGGCGAAGGCGGCCUGCUGGGCUUUUACUGACGCUGAGGCUCGAAAGUGUGGGGAGCAAACAGGAUUAGAUACCCUGGUAGUC